CCUACGGGAGGCAGCAGUGGGGAAUAUUGGACAAUGGGCGCAAGCCUGAUCCAGCCAUGCCGCGUGAGUGAUGAAGGCCUUAGGGUUGUAAAGCUCUUUUGCCAGGGAAGAUAAUGACUGUACCUGGAGAAUAAGCCCCGGCUAACUUCGUGCCAGCAGCCGCGGUAAUACGAAGGGGGCCAGCGUUGUUCGGAAUCACUGGGCGUAAAGCGCACGUAGGCGGACUUUUAAGUCAGGGGUGAAAGCCUGAGGCUCAACCUCAGAACUGCCCUUGAUACUGGGAGUCUUGAGUAUGGUAGAGGUUGGUGGAACAGCAAGUGUAGAGGUGAAAUUCGUAGAUAUUUGCUAGAACACCAGUGGCGAAGGCGGCCAACUGGACCAUAACUGACGCUGAGGUGCGAAAGCGUGGGGAGCAAACAGGAUUAGAUACCCUGGUAGUCCACGCCGUAAACGAUGGAUGCUAGCCGUUAGCCAGCUUGCUGGGUAGUGGCGCAGGUAACCCUUUAAGCAUCCCGCCUGGGGAGUACGGUCGCAAGAUUAAAACUCAAAGGAAUUGACGG
rnacentral:rRNA from 1 species